UUUCGCCGUUACGAGACCGCGCGACGGUUCGCUCCGCGACCUUCGCGACCUUAAUCGGGAAAAUGUUUGGCACGGCACAACAAAACAAAAGACUCGCACUUUGUCGCCGCGGGGACAUAUCCUACUUUUCUCGCGGUCGUCUGAGCAAGUCGCGAACGAACGAACGAACGAACGAGAGCGCAUGUACGUACGAACGAGCAAGCGUAAGCGAGUCCGGUGCGUAGAACGAGCGCGGUAUACGGCGCGUGUGCGUGUGCGUGUGCGUGUGCGUCGCGUGCGUGUCCGUCUUUUUUUCGUAAUCGCCGGCGUGUCGGCGGCGCCAAGCUAGAAGACGCGGAGGAAGGCCGACGACCCGUUAUAAAUGGAACCAGAGAGACGGCAUUUCUCGAAUCGCUGCUUGUGUUGUUAUUCGCAGCGCGUCGGCCGCAGCGGGACGAACGAGCCGAGCUCGCUGCUCGAGAAAGUCACCCUUCUUUCGAGGCGCGAGAAACGAGAGAACCAGUGAAUCAGCCAGUCGUCCCGUCAUCGCGAGCUACUGCUAUCAGGUUCCGAUAUCCGGCGCAACAAGGACCAGCUGAAGGAAGACGACAAUUUUUCGAGCAAAGUGGACGCUUUCUCGCUGCUCUAGUGUAAUAGAGAGAGAGAGAGAGGGAGAGAGAGAGAGAGAAAGGGAGAGAGAGAGAGAGAGAGAGAGAGAAGCAGCGUACAAAGCGCUGAAAUAUUGACACUCGCUCGAAGAGAGUUGACGCAGCCGCGAGUCAGUCGACAUCCUCGUUCUCCAUUAAUAGAAACAGGUACAACGAACAUAAGCGUGAGUCGCGUGUGUGAGUUGCGUAGCGGCUGAUGUUUCGUUACGCCGAUGGUUCUGUUGCGAGUUUUUUUUUUUUCUCGUAAUCACACCGUCCUACAUGGUGAAAAACGAGCGUAUGUUUAUGUGCGGGAAUUGUCUCAGUGUUGAAGGAAAAUCAGCGGACAGUCGGCAGCGGAGCUCUUCUUAGACGUCGGUUCGUCUAUUCGAAAAAGUCGCGAAGUCGAAUCGCGAAUUUGGAGUAAGUAAAAAUAUCGUGAAAGAUCGCCCCGACCAGCGUCAUCGACCCUUCGGAGACAAUGCGUCUGGCGCAUCCAGUCGACGCGUUUAUUAAGUAGCCGACGAGAACAACAGCUCGACGAAGAUCCCCCUCGACAACAAAGCCGGCGGGGAAAGGGGAAAAGCGAUAAGAGGACGAACGAGACUGCGUCAGGUGGAGCUCCUCGUCAUCCACGUACCAGAAAAUCGCGAUAAGAUAGCGUUCGCUCGUAAACAGUCGCGUUCGGUGCGCCGACGACGACGGUUGGCACGUCUUUCGAUCCUCAGAAACGCGAAGUGGCAAUUGCGGCAACGAUCUGUCCGCUUCGGGAAAGGAGUCGUCCCGACUCGAAACAGUUUCGCGUGAGUUUUCAAGCGGAUCACCGACAGCGGGAGCGUGUCGCAAGAUCGACGCGUCGUCGCGGCUGGAAAAGGGAGCUCUGCUGUUGCAUAACUCGCGCGCGCUUUAUCGCGCCAUUAAGGAUCUCGCGAGGAGAGCGAAGAGUCGAGCUGGGCGAACGUGCCGGGCGAACUCGCGUCGUAAUCGCGGUUACGUUCGCCGUGGUAGAAAACGACGAAGUGGAGCGCACCACGACGAGAGAGAGAGAGAGAGAGAGAGAGAGAAAGAGGAGAGGCGUCUAUUCAUCAGCCGCCACGAUUUCUUCAAAGUCGCGCGGAUAUUAAUAGGGAAGAAGCUGCCGCACGACUGGACGUUCCGAUCGACGUCGCGAUUAACAGUUUCGUAUCUAAGCGAUGACGACGUCGGCCGGUGAUAUUAAUUGAUAAUCGCGAUUAAACAGUCGAGGACUAGGCAGGAAGACACGACACGGGAAGAGUCUGACUGGGAUAUAUCGGACAGGCUGGCGUCUUCCACGCUGGCUUCUUCUGAUUCCUCUCGUUUAUCUGAAAGAACCGAUUCCGAGCCGAUGCUCUGCGACUGGAACACUUAGCAAUCCUGGGAUUCCAUCGUCGUGGGAAUUAAUCAACGUCCAUGCCGUUAAUUAACCGGUGCAACAAUUAAAUAUCACGGAGCAAAGAGGAGAAGGUGGAGGAGGAGGUGGACGGCGACGACGACGAGAAAAGCGACUAUUCGCGUUAUUAAGAACGAAACUUAAUGAAACGCGUCAGAAAUUAAUUAGUGAUUCGCAAUCGCUGCACCUGCGCGGGAGAUUGAACUCGGCAAUGACUCGGGCCGGUGAUUGAUCGGUAAUUAGUAAUAAUCGUAAGUGUGUCGCACGAGUGCCCGCGACAAGGACAUUCCGCGGCCCUUCCGCGCCGCGCGACUGGGUCAGUGUCCUGCCGAGAAGGACCUGGACAUGCGAGGAGAGAGUGCGGUAAAAAGUGCAAAGUGAUAUAAUUAGUGCGCCCGCGGAGGCGAUGUGUGAUGCCAGCCCGAAUGUCACUUAAACCACGCAGCUGAUGACAAACGUAAACAGGAUCAAGGUGGUCGUCCUCGGCGGCCCCAGAGUCGGCAAAUCAGCCGUCGUUGUGCGGUACCUGACUAGGCGAUACAUCGGCGAGUACAGCUCGACCAGCGAUUUCCUUUACCGGCACAGCGUCACUAUCGACAAUGUCACGACGGAAGUCGAGAUUCUGGACACCUCCAGGUGCGAGGAGAACGGUUGCCUAUACUCGCACAUACGAUGGGGCGAGGCCUUCGUCGUGGUCUACAGCGUGACAUGUAAGCGUAGCUUUCAGGAAGCCAGAGGACUUCUCAAGCAACUCGCGGAUCUACGCCUGCCGUCCUAUUUCACCGCCCUCCUGCUCGGCAACAAGCGAGAUCUGGAUCACGCUCGGGAGGUGUGCGUGGACGAGGGCCAACAACUGUCGCUGGCGCACGGAUGUCAGUUUUACGAGGUGAGCGCCGCGGAGAGUCCCGCGGGAGCUGCUUUGGCCUUCCAGGCGCUCCUGCGGGAGGCGAGAUCGGUGCAGCUGCUGCGAGCGUUGCCGAUCCGCAGGAAGCUGGGCGUGCACUCGGUCUCGAGGGUCCUCGGCACAAUCUUCGGCAAGAACACCACGAAAGAUCGCAAGAAGAGGCCGUCGUUGAGUAUAUGACGCCUCCUAGGCGCCCUUCUCCUCGGAGGACGAGACGAGCCGGGCAGAAGGGCCGACAUCGUCGUCCUCAGCAGCAACGUUUACUCGAGUCGCUGACGAGGUCCUCGACUGGUACGAGUCGCCGCCGCCGCCGCCGCCGCCACUUGGCGGUCUGGUAUGAAUCUCCCUUCGAUCUUGCGCCUUCCCGAGCUCCGAAGAGAAUGAUCGCGCGAUCGGACGACGACGCUCUUGGCGAUCUCGGAGGCGAUCUUUCGUAUGAGAACGAGGUCCUUCGCGAAUUGCGUCUCGCCGGAAGGAAGAGCGCGCUCGAUAUGAGGGUGAUCGAGCUUCCACGGCCCCGCGCAGUGUUCAGGAUUCAGGAAGUUAUCCACGUGGAUCCAAGACUGAUUUUUUCCGGCGUCGUGAUCGCGCGAGCGGUUCGAGAGCGUGCGAGGAUCCCGAAAGUGCAACCCGAAAAGAUCCACAGGACAUCCGAAGGUCUUCCGGGAUCCUGGAGAUAUCCAGGCUGCGAGGAGGUCGUUCCGCUCGUCCGGAGGGCGAGAUCACUCCCCCACCAUCCCCACCCCCUGAAGAGAAGAACUGCUGCGAGUGCUCGCGCGUGCGAUCCUGUUUCUCAGCGCGGCGUUGACGUGUCCUCGCGCGAGCAAGAAGAGCGAGUCAACGCCUCCUGACUGCUCAGCGACCGCUUCGUUUUAUUUCCCUUGGAAUAUAUCGCGGUGACAUCUCUCUCGCAGUGAUCACGAGUGACCGGCGAAGUUGUUCCUGAACAUGGCGUUAGUCCUUAAGACGAUCGACGGAGAACGAUUCUUCCGGUCGCGCCUCGCAACCGGUUCCGCGAGUGCAAAUUUUAUAAUUUGGUACGCAUAACACUCACUUGCAACACUCACUCGGUGUUUAAGUUAUUACGUCGCUAACUCUAAACAGUAUAAGCCGUCUCGCUCGUCGUUCUCGCUGUAUUUACGAACGUUCCGCGCAUUUUAUAAGAGAUAUUCACGCACGCAAUAAGUUGAUAAGCCCGAUGAAAGCGUCAACCCGCGUGGCUGCUCAGCUGCGCGGAAGGUUAUCGCGAAAUUAUUCUCCGCAGUUUGCACUUUUUCUUUCAUACUCUUCAUCUUCCGCGAAAUUCUCUCCUCUCGCCCGAGCGAAACGCGUUACACUGUUUAGGGUUGGUCUAAUUUCUAUCUUCCUUUUUUUUUUCUUUCGAUGCUCCCGAAUGAAACCCGUGAGUCUUUCAAAUUCCGAUGCUCCCAAGUGGAGAGAAGAUCGCAAUUCGAUUCGAUUCGAUUCGAUUUCCUGCCUACCGCCUUGGCUGUCUCUCGAGAGGCGUUCGCGAGCGGCUCACCGAGAGCGGUCGCGACGCCUUCGUCGUCGGGCGUGAUUGGAUUCGAUGACUUAAAUGUUCCUAAAGAAAGUAGCCUAAGUGUAAAUAGCGCACACGUUCGCUUAUCACACUUCGCGGAGGGAUUCUUCGCGGAGGCUCGAAUAAUCGUUAAGAUUUGCAUACGAGAGAAGAGAAAUAAUAUGAGUGCGAUCGCCGGAACGUCGAGCCCGUCAUUAGAGGGGUCAUUGUUGUCGAAUCAUCGGAUGGUGAAGAAGAGAACGAUGUCAAGUGUCGAGUUAUUUUCCGAAAGUUUCCCGCCAAUUUCUUCUUGCCGUUUCUUCUUUUUUUUUUUUUUCUUAUCGCGCUUUCAUAGCUUUCAUAGCUUUCAUGUCGAAUCCGUAAAUUCACGGGGUAAAUAGAAGCGAUUUUUGUUGUCGACGGGUCGACAAGUAUCGGCGAUCGUUCGUAUGGCUGCCAUGUUACGUUCGUCGGUGACAACAGACCGAUUAACGCGCGUCUCGUCCAUUACUUACCGUAAAAAGUCGGACGUUUGCCUUUUCGCUAAGUUCUACAAUCGCGCGUCGACGUUUUGUAAGUCGUCCUCCUUUUUCUACAACCAGCAUCUACGAUCGACUUUAAGGUUCGCGUAGUUCGUAAAAACGCUUUCAGUGUCUUCCGAACGACGUAAAGCGACGUAAGCUCGUCACGCGACGUGCUCUUUUCCGCUGGAAACCGCCGUGGUUAAAAUUCACAACGACGGAUAAAAAACACACGGCUCUACACACGUCGGUCGGUCGGUCGGUUUUAAUGAGCACGAGUGAAUUGCGCGACGCUUUUUUAGCACGUCGAUUCCCAGCGGAAAAAGACCGCGAGCGCGCGUGGGUCGAGCUUUCAAAAGUUGUUGCCUGCCUCGAAAACGAGGCGGGACACUCUCAGCAGCGCAAACAGUGCGUAUAUCUCUCUUCUCGCGAUACAUUCCACUUGAAAAUUAGCGUCUAAUGUGUGUGAGUGCGUAAUUCGAUUCCAGGCAGAUCGUCGCUGUAUUCGAAGUGCUAGUCACUUGUUAUCGAGAGGAGAUAAUAAUAAAGGAGCGUCUUUUGUUAAGUCGAAUCUUCAAGUUGAAUCUCCGCCUGCGUCCACCCGCUUCCACCCGCCCGACGUGAGUCAUCGACGGUGGUCUGCGCCAGUCAUCGGCUGGGGUCGGACACUCACGCUCAUUUCAACGUGAAAUCAUCACGACGCACAUUGCUCGCCGACUGCGCACCGGUUUGUAACAAAAGCUUCACCUCUCGUCACCUUGGCACCUUGGCGCUAUUCCACGCUUCGAGAGUCGCUCCAUUUCUGCACCCGCGGCCGAACCUCCAGCCAGAUCGUGGUAGCACAGGUAUGAUUGAGACACGCGAUUGAGCGACGCUGACGGACACCACGCGACUGUCCGAUGCGAAAGCAUCGGCGAAUGCUUUGACAGGCGAUCGACGGACUGCCGUCCGCGACGGGACGCGCGGCGGCUUCUUCCUCUCGCUCUCCUCGCCGCUUCCUUGCUGCGCGACUCCUCCUGCGCGCGGCACCAGGUCUCCGGCACCAGGCUCUCGCGGAUCGCAAGAUUGGAGAAUGGCAGAAGGAUGAAGAAGCAAUUGAAAGACCAUAGGUGCUUCUCCAGGUGAAAGAUCUACCGGCUCUUGAGACUUGAAGUCUGCAGGAUAUUUUACGGCUACGGGAAAAAACGACGCCUCGUCCGGCAUCUCUGGGCAUCUCAG
rnacentral:misc_RNA from 1 species